CGGACGGGUGAGUAAUGUCUGGGAAACUGCCUGAUGGAGGGGGAUAACUACUGGAAACGGUAGCUAAUACCGCAUAACGUCGCAAGACCAAAGAGGGGGACCUUCGGGCCUCUUGCCAUCGGAUGUGCCCAGAUGGAUUAGCUAGUAGGUGGGGUAACGGCUCACCUAGGCGACGAUCCCUAGCUGGUCUGAGAGGAUGACCAGCCACACUGGAACUGAGACACGGUCCAG
rnacentral:rRNA from 1 species